GUUGUAGAGCUGCCGUAAUCUUAUUGAAAUUGGCUUUUUUUUUUUCUUCCUCAAUAUUUACAUUAGGUGGUUUAUAACCUAUACCAACCUAUAAUUGAUUUCCCUUUGUGUUUUUUGUUUUAAUUUCAAUUUUUCUUUUUCUUGUAGACAAGGAAAUGGGGUACUGAAUAGAAAAGGGAGAAUUCAAUUAUUACAUAUUAGGGGUUUACAAUAACCCUUGCAUCUCUGAUACUCUUAUCAUUAG